CUUGACCGAGCCGAGCCAGAGCGGGUCCUCGUCCGUCCGGUCCCGGCCAUAGGUGGCCAGCAGCGCCUGCGCCUC
rnacentral:antisense_RNA from 1 species